GUCCUCACUUCAGGGGCACAUAUACUGAAGCUGGAACAAUUACAGAGAAGAUCAGCAUGGGCUCUGCAAGGAUGAUAUAAUUUUAAAACAAUGGGAUAGAAAAAAAU